AGAAGCGAGCUGAGGUAGCAAAAAUACUCCACCGCCUGCUCGCAGCCAAUCAGCCAAUCCGGAGCUCACCCACCCUUUAUGUUUGUCAUGUGUUUGAUUGGUCUUUGAGUUUUCACUUCCCACAUCGGAAGUCAUAAAUUGGAAAAUCACAAGAAUAACAAUGUCUAUUACGUCCACAGCUUUUAAUUUGGCUUCAUUUUAACAAAUUAAGAAUGUAAUGCAACAAAAAUCAUGUGAUGCUUUGUUUACAGGCAACUUUUACCCUCCCUCCUGCUUGUUGUGAUGAUUGACCAAACUCAGUCUAAUUUUAAAAACAUACUCCCCUUCCUCCUCGCCUGCCUGUCAGUGUCUCUUCCUCAGUGACUACUUUGUGGCAAUAUCUGAUUUUUGCAUGUAACACAUUACUGAACAAAUUUAUUUCCUGAUUUUGCAUCCUCUUCUCUACACUUUAUAUUGUUCUUUGAGUUAUUCCUCAUGUGAUAACAUUCAUUUAAUGUAAUUAGCCUUUGAAUGGAAAUAUGUUUGUUUUAUAUAUUAUAUGCAUGAGUUCUUGCACCGACGCAGCACUUCCUUGUUAAAUCUGUAAAGCACAGAUGACAUGUUGGUGGAUUAACAUUUGGAUUCCUUGUAUUUCCACAGCCCAGCCCGUGAGCUCAUGUCCACCCCCCCUCCCCAGAGGAAUGGUUCACUCAAUCUUACAGUAGGAACCCCCCACUCUCAGGGUGGAUCCAGGGGGCCUAGUCCACACAUGGUUCGCAGAGGCACCAAGAAGCAGGCCCCAGCCCCGCCCAAACAGGCCAGCCCAUUUUCCUCCCAUCCCAGUACCACCCAGAUGCUCAGCUCCCCUCAUCACCCACCCAUAACCCCCAGACGCCAGCCCAGCAAAGAUGGCCCAAUCCAGGCAACUUAUACUGUAACAAAGAGGCAUUACUCUGUGUGUAUGUGUGUGUUUGUGUGCACAACAUGUGCACUGUAUGAUUAAGUUUUUCCAAUGGAAACUCUCAUCUAGCUCCAAAUAGAGCAGGAUGUUUGAUCUGGCUACUUCUGUAAUGCUGUGGUGCACAGAUCUGACAGUCAGUGGUGGAAGAAAUAUUCAGAUCAUUUACUUAACUAAAAGUAGCAAUACCAAAAUUAAAAAUACCCCAUUACCCCAAGUAAAAGUCAUGGAUUCAAAAUCCUACUUAAGAAAGAGUACAUUAGUAUUAUCAGCAAGUAUCAAAAGUAAAAGUACUCACUAUGUGAAAGGCUCCUGUAAGUGUUAUACUGUAUAUAUUAUUGGCUUAUUAUUAGAGAUACAUUCAUGUUUAAGUGCCAUUUUAAUGUUGUAGCUGGUCGAGGUGCAGCUAAUUAAUUGCUUUAUAUACUGUUGAGUUGUUUAACCUAUAGCAGUUUGUCAUAUUUUAUAAGUUCAUGUGUUUAGAAUCAUAAUCUGCAAUGUAACUAGUAACUAUAGCUGUAAAAUAAACGUAGUGGAGAAAAAAGUACAAUAUUUGCCUCUGACAGUGGUGGAGGAAGUACUCGGAGGAUCUUUUACUUAAAAGGUGGGGUAUGCGAUUCUGGAGAAAUCCAAAACCAUGGCAAAUAUCAUGCUAUAGAGCGAACAACUUUGGGAGAAAAAAACCUGCAGCUGGGCCAGAUGUGUUCAGGUCCUCUCACACACUGUAUAAUUCUUCUUCAAUAAACACUUGAGUCGAAUAGAGUGCAAUGCAAUAUAGAUUUUACUGUAAUAUCAAAACAAAGUACACGUAAAACCGAGUUGGUUCAUGAAGCAAAUGAACAGGCUCAGUUGUGCAUUCACUUAUAUUUUCAAAACAUGCUCCUCUGACUGUCCUUGAAUACAUUGGGUAAAUAUAAGGAUAUGGUGGUUUUUUGAGAAACUAAAACAGGAGGAUCCGGGCAGAGAGAUGGGAAGAGUGUCUUUUCUGUCUCUUAAUUAGACAGAAAAAGUUAAAUCACAAAACUUCCCAGGCUCUGUUCAAUGAAAUACAAACUUUCAUGUGUUGCUUCUGGAUCAUGAAUUCAAUGUUUCUUUGAUUAAAAUAAACCACAUCAUAAACCUCCGACCUUUGGCAAAACACAUCAAAACCCACAGCAGUUGGUAUUACGUGUGUACAGAGAGCAUGCACAUUUUCUUCUCUCAGCUCUCAUGUAUGUCCAUCAGCUGUAGGCACUUAUCUAUAGUACGUUCUAAAAUAUAUCAAAAUAAAGGCUUUGUUACAACACUAUAUGUAUUAAUCAGGAAACAUAUUACUUGCGACCAGAGUGAGCUAAUUCAUGCACUGGGAACACAGGGAAGGGGAAGGUCACUCUGCCCCGUGUGCUCCAGAGUGUUUACAAUUAGGAGUGCCAAUGCAAGGGAGAGGCAGAGAGUUUCUUCAUACAAUGGGCACCCUUCCACAGGAAUGUAGGUGCAGUACAAGCAGGCCAGUGCUUUCACUGAGCAACACAACCUGAAUGAUUAUUGAACUUGAUUAUCUAUAUCAAGGAAAAUAUUUUCCACACAACAACACAGCAAGUAAUAUAACUAACGUUAGUUAGUUAGAACGAUAUUCGCUGAAUCUGACAAAAAGACGUGUAUUGGAUUAGAAUCACAUACCCCACCUUUAACUGCAAUAGCUAACCCAGACAAUUCAGUGCAUACCAGCAGCUUGGAGCACCUGAAAAUGAAAAUAUUUGUUAAACGCAAGUUUCUUUUAUGCACUGACUGUAGUUAUAGUUAGUAUAUUCCAGAUUUUCCCAAUCUCCAUCUUGAGAUGCAGCAAGAUCAAACAACAAGCAAAAACUUAGUAUUAAAAAAAUAGAAUUUAAUGUGCAAGUCAUUAACUUCACUUUGACACCCUUGAAAAGUUAUUAUACAUGAGUUCUGCAGCCUGACCUCUAAACUCAUAUUUGACUACAUAAUUACAUGAAGAUAAAAUUACCUACUGUAUUGAGAUGCCACCCUAAACACCCUCUGGAACAGUCCACUCUUACAGAGUCGGCACAAUAGUCUUGAUUGACAAAAGAGAAGCAGUCUAGCAGCAUUAACUGGAAUCAAGCACAUUUAGCAUAGUCAGUUGUAAAGGUCUGUACCCAUACAGCACAGUGGUAUU